AUACAGAGGGUGCGAGCGUUAAUCGGAAUUACUGGGCGUAAAGCGUGCGUAGGCGGUUGAUUUAGUCAGAUGUGAAAGCCCCGGGCUCAACCUGGGAACUGCAUUUGAAACUGGUCAACUGGAGUAUGGUAGAGGGGGGUAGAAUUUCUGGUGUAGCGGUGAAAUGCGUAGAUAUCAGAAGGAAUACCGAUGGCGAAGGCAGCCCCCUGGACCAAUACUGACGCUGAGGUACGAAAGCGUGGGGAGCAAACAGGAUUAGAUACCCCGGUAGUCC
rnacentral:rRNA from 1 species